CCUGCUAGUGCUCCAGGCUACGUAUGUGGGGUUCCUUCCUGAUAACUGGAGGCAGGCAGUUUAUGGCCUGAAGCAUGAAGGCUAAUAAAAGCCUGUGGAACAUGCGCGCUUGCUCAGCGUAGCGGUUUCUCUGAGACACAGUAAAUGUCUCCUUCCCAGACUCUUUCAAUCCUUCCAAACAGUUUGUCUCCAUGAAUCCCUUGCAGUGACUAUGUGCUGCUGCAAGGAUGUCCCCUUUGUGCUGCAGACAAUGUUGUCGGCACAUCCUCAUCACUUGCUGCCUUUCCAUGUCUCGUUUGCCUCUUGCAGCUCCAGACCCCCAUCUAUUAUUCCUCCCACAUCCCAUUAUCUCCUUCUUCCAUUCUCUGAAGGCUGGAAGCUGCAGAGUUCAGCUGUGAGCUGUGGAUGCCAUCUGAGUGCGGUGUCUCAUCUUGCACAUUUGGGUAAGUCAGCCAUGGAAUUAUCGUAUAAUGUGGAAAUCAUACAAUUUCUCUCUGAUCUUCCCCGAGCUUAGCAUUUCAUCUCGCUUAUACCAAAUGCAGCAUGACUAAGUAGGCAAGAAAGGGAUUUGAGCCCUUUUGUUACUUAAAAUGUGAAUUAGACGUUCCUGAGGGAAGUUUGUGUUGCAUUUGCAAGUUAAAAAUGCAUCAAUUAUCUGUACAUGGACCCCUUCUAAUGUGAUGGUGAGAGAGGGCGUGGUGGAGCUGGCAGCAGGGGACACGCUGCAAGGAGGGGUAACCUGCUCAGCACAUUGCACAUUCACUGCUAUGCUGGGCUAAUGUGCGUCUGUCCAUCCCUUAUGAACUGCACAUGCCAGAACACUGCAGACAAGCCAGGAACCCUGCCCAGUCUCCCUGUAGCUGCUGCGUCUCUCAUGCUCAGCUUCUCCCAGGAGAUUUAUCCCUCUUGGGUCUGACAGAUAAAUGAUAACAUAGGGAUACACAUGAAAAGCAGCAGUGGGAAGGCCGAGGUUCUAGUGUAGUGCUCCGUCCCCAUCCCGGGCAGCCUGCCCGUGGAGCGGCUAUCCCAGAUGAUAGCUCACUGGGAGGAAGGCAUAUGCAGGCAGGGAAGAGCCUUGGCGCCCUCCAUGGGACUGUGCAACCCAGCUGUUAACCCCGCUGCAUGCAGCAGCACUGGGAGUUUGGAGAAGACACACAAAUGCUGUCCCAGCCGUUGGCAUUAAACUACAAUGGAACACGGUCUAUGUCGGUGAAUAUUUCUCUCUCACAUACUGAUUUACCUCUUCAGGCAGCUGUACAAAUAUUAACUAACUCUCACAUCUUGGUCAGCUAAGCAGGGCGUUAGUCCUAUUUUAGGGAAGGGGAAACUGAGGUAGCAGGAGAAGUGACUUGACUAGCGCUAGAGAACAAGUCAGUGUCAGAGGCAGGGCUGGAACCCAGGAGUCCUCGCUUCCAGGGCUGCGGCCAGGCCACAUGUAGCUCUGCCAGAAGAGUGGCACAAUCCAGGUAAACUGCUUCUCUCCCUCAUGCCUCCUCCUUUUCAUGCUCUUGUCUUGUGUGCUGUGAGUCCCCAUAUUCAGAGGACACUGACUCAGCACUCACAACCUGGGGGCUGAGAUGUGAACAAGUGGCACGUCUCUUCAUGUGCAUUGGUGUGUAUGCUCCGUUUUGUGCAAACCCUAGAGGAGAUUGGGGCAAGGCCUGGCUGGAAAUCUGGCCUACCCCCACAAUAGAGAGCAGUUCUGAAAUAAUGGCUGCAAUGUAGAAUCAUUCCGAUGUUAGGGUUUAUCAGUAAUGGCCAGGGCCUGCUUUCCCCUCAUGUGCUGCUCCUGCCCCUGCCCCCAGACUGUUUGGUUGAUUUAUGAAGAAAGAGAAAAGUCUUGUAAAGAAGGUAUUAAAGGGGAAGCCAUCUAUCUGCUUUAUGUAGUCGGUUUUAAUCUGAGAAUCUAAAUGGAUUAUGAACAUGAGAUGCCCGACAUGGUCUGAGGAGAUAAGGCCAGAUAAGACCACACACAUAAAGAGGCAAUUAGUUAUUGGAUUACGGGUUUUUUCUUGUAUAUAACUCGGUAGGUAGGGAAAAACUCCACCACUUUUUCUGUCUGCUGAUUGGCAAUGGCUGAUGGGACUGAGGGGUGUGCAAUGAGCCGUAAGAGCUGGCACCUGGAGAUGUUCAUGUAAAGUAGAGUCAGUGCUGGGCCGGGCUGCAUGUGCACCAUGGCCCUGGGGUAAGGCAUAGCCCGGAGAAGCUGUGCUGCUGGUUGAGGUUGGCUGAGCCUCUGGUGCUAUGUGGCCCCAGGGGCUGGUGUUCAGGUGACAUCGAUGGGGAGCCCUGACUCCAAAACACACAGUUCCCUUGAGAGCCCAAGGCUGCUGGCAUUUUCCGCGCAGAGCCUGGCUUGCUCCUGGAGCAGCCAGUGUGUAAGGGAAGGUGGGUCUGUACACGAGGGCCUGUGCUUUCUGCUCCUCUCCCCAGUGGGGAUUGUGCUCUGUGCUUCGGGUUGGACACUACUGUGACAGGGUAGGUGCAUCAAUCGCAAACUGAUCAGCUCCACCCCGCAGAAGGGUGAGGACAUGGGGGCCCCCAUCACACUCUGAUGCUUGUAACCCACAGAUGGGGCAGCUCCCUCAGAGUCAAAGCUUGCAAUGGGGGUUGGAUUGGGGACUUUCAUCACUGUGCAGCGUAGCAGCCCAUUCCAGGGGCCCGCUCCUGCAGUCCCUUGUUCUGGGGCUGAGUAAGAAUUUGUAGGGUCAGGCCCAGGCUUUGCUUCUUCUGUUCCAGCUCCCUGCUAGAGAGCUCUAUUGGCACUGAAGACAUUUCACUGACAUGUCUAUAACAAGGGCCCCACCACUAAGCAGAGGUUAGAACAACCUGCUGCUGGCUCUUAGCCCUCCCUCAUUUUCUCUUGGCUAGAAAUUGGAUGAGUGCAGUGCUUAAAGGCACUCUAACUUGCAGUAUAAAUUGCAUUGCCUUAUACUGCAAAAGGUCAAGCCGGACGACUUGAUGAAAGGGAUUAACCUACUGAAUACCACUUCAGUCUAUUUAAGGACAACCAAUUGCAGCAAGACAGAAUGGAGAAGUUGAACUAGAGAACGGGAAAAUAUGAAUGAAUAAAUAUUAUUUCCUGCCCAUGGAUUAUCCAUCCUGAGUGGAUUUGCAAACACAGCUAAUGUGCAUCAAAGCCACACGUUAUCUGCAUAGGUUCCUGCAUUCUUUCCUCAUGCACCAAGUUAAUUCCUGCUGGCUUUCCCCAGCUUUAACAUAAGAACGAGCCUAGGUCAAGACCAAAGGUCCAUGUAGCCCAGAAUCCAGUCUGCCGACAGUGGCCAGUGCCAGGUGCCCCAGAGGGAAUGAACAGAGCAGGUAACCAUCAAAUGAUCCAUCACCUGUUGGCCAACGGCCUAUGGCCUUCGCUGUGUUCGCCUCCUCCAUUCCACCGUGGGGAUCACUAUGGCUCUUGUUAAAGGUGCUUCUGGCCCUACCCAGCCCCUAAUGUGCAAGAGAGAAAUGAAAACGCCUUGUGGAGGUUACACUUUCUAAUACCAGGCCCCAAAUCUUAUGGCUGCUCUUGAAACGGCAUGGGCCUGGAUGGUGAGCAGAGGGGCUCAGGAGCAGCUGAACACAGGGAGUGGCAGCAGGUGUGGGAGGAAGCGAUUGAAUCCCCACAGGAUUCCCUUUGCUGGAGCUCCGAGGGAGGGGACAUAGGCAGGAUAGGAGGAGCAGGGCAUCUGUCUCUCUCUCUUUCUGGCACCAUCCUUAACUGACACCUAUGUCAACAGGCAACGCUUGCUGCAGCAUUAACUUCCACUGAGCUCCCCAACAGGUGAUCCCCUACAGCUGCUCAACAGACACAGCACACAGCAACAAUUGUUCAGAGGUGCUGAUCGCCCACUGCUCCUCUUGGGCUUCAGGUGGAGUUGUGGGGCUGGGUACCUCUGGAAAGCAGGGGCUGGCAGCCUGUGCCCUUGGCUACUUCCUUCUCCCCAUGUGGGAUGAUCACUGGGAAACUCUGUGAGGUCACCUUUGGGAAGUUUGAGUUGCCUAGUCACUCUCUGGGUUUCUCAGUGGAGAAGAGGCAACUCAGUAGGACUUACUGGUAACCACCUUGUAAUUGCUAAAUAUGCACAGGGUCUGGAAUGCAACAAGACCACAACAGAGCUUUGCAAGUGCUGCAAAAAUAUCCAUGAACUGUUGGGUUGAAUAAAACCAUUAACUUGGUUCAAAUUGUAUUUGAGCCCUAACGUUCACACCAGGAGAGUUCUUCUCACAACAGCAAUCCUGGGUUGAGCAAGCAUGUAUGAAUAUCUAGUCACAUGGAGUAUUUAUGCCUGACAUGUUCAUGGGACCGUCAAAGCUCCUGGCAGGUUUUAAUCAUCUGUCACCAAUCAGGGAGCAUAAAAAUGCCAUGUGACUUAUAUGACCAGUCACACAGCAUGCGCAGCAGAAUGCUCAAAGCAAUUGUUACAAUGCAGAGUUCAUGAGCCAUCAAUGGGCUGAAAUAUGUUCUUUUGACCCAUUUUUGAAUAAAACACACAGACUUUGAAAUUGAAGUCUACUUGUGCAUAAUUAGCCCUAUUGCUCUUUGCAAAAUUUGUGGUUUAAAUUAUUCCCUGCAAAUAGUUUGGAUCUACUGAGCUUAAUUACUACACUCCCGGCAAGGAAACUCCCAUGUUCAACUCUCUUAGAUCGGGUUCACUGGUGGGUUUUUACAGAUCACAAAAUGUGAGCCCUGUGCUCACUGGGACCUCUAGGUGCUACUGUCAUUUAACCACCAUCUGAGCCAGCGCUCCUGUCCUCAAAACUGCUGUACAGAUUGUUUGUUCUGUCAAACUCUCCUUCAGAAAGUGCAGUGCGUUAUUCUACAUUCAUGGUCCAAACAGAGAGUUAUUAACAACACACUGUGACAUCACUGUAGAAAGCUGUUGUCGUUCUGAGUCAGUGAUGGCCAGUAGCAUGCUGUAGCAGGAUGAAUGUAUUACAUGGUCAUUAUUAAGUCACAGAUAACAUCGGUCUCUCUUUAAAUUACACCGGACACAAAUAUUUAAGUGCUAUCUAUUUUUCCUCACUGGAGCUGUAUCUGCAACUUUUCUCAGCUGAGCACACGUUAUAAUGAUGCUAAAGCUGUGCAGAAAAUGUCACACACAAAAGGGGAACCGGUAACAUUCAAUAUUUUGCCACUGCCUGUUUGCAAAUUUCCUUCAGGCACAAAAGUAUUUUUCACACGAGCACAGGAGUCCCUCUUCCCUAUUCCUCUAAGUGUCAAAUCUCAUUUGCUCUCAAACACCUCUAGUGAUGGAGCCCUGACAACUUCCCUGGAUAAAUUAUUCAGUUGCCCGAUUGACCUCUUCAUUACAAAUGCUUUGCCCUAAUGGAGAACUUGAAUUUUCCCUUUGCCAGUUUAAGGCUGUUAUCUUUGACACAGAAAAAUUCCACCCCUCCCCCUUUCCUAUUUAUGCUACCCACCAGCCUUUUGUUGCCUCUGGGCUAUAUCUUUGUCAAGUCCUCCAUGUCAAGGCAAUGACUGGCUAGAAGCACCUAGUCUGCAGCUUGUUUCAGGGAGGAGUUACUCUGAUAGCUAUGGAAAGGAGUGUGGAGGGGUCUAACUGCUGUUAAGUCUAAACACAAAAAAUGGAAAGUGGUAAGGGCCGCACCUGGCCAGCUGCAGAAGGGAACUUUCCCUGCACAGAGUAAAGGAAGCUCAAGCAAUUGUCCCCCCAACCCUGGUACCAAGAUGGAACUAAGACAGGCUACAGCUGGGCCAGGGAGCCAUGCAGCUGACACUUCUCAUGGCAUGAGAAAAUAAAAUAUAUGGAACAGAAAAGGGUUACCCGAGCCCGGACCCUUGGACAUCAGUCUUAUUCCUAAAAGACGUUGGAAAGAAAUGUAUGCACAAUCCAUUAUUUUCUGGUAACCUUUUCAACUCCAUCUGUUUGUUUUCAUUUUGACAGUCUCUCUCACAGCUUCCAGCACAAUUUUCUUUGCUUUGCUUUGGAAGUUUAGCACAGUGUCACUUUUCCUGCUGACCUAUGUGUUCCCUGUUACAGCACUUCUGGAGUGCAAUCUGAUCUAAGAAGGACUUCACUUUGCUCCCGUAAUCUUUGUAUUACAGCCAGACUCCUUUAUAACUGAUUAAACCCCCUGUCUCUUUGCAAUACAGCUGUGCUCCACAGAAGUGUGAGGUAGGGUGAUUCCAGGUUAGCUACCAACCAGCCAAGCUGCCAAACCUUGGUAGCCAGGCUUAAGCAGGGAAGUAGAAAUGUCUCUUUGGAACUCAGCUCCUCGUGCUCUGUGAGCAGCCGACAGGCCAUGUUUUCCCUCCAGCCAGCCAUGUGCUCAGCAGCUCUUGGGAAGCAUCCCAGCUGCUGCAAAUGACAACGUGACUCGAGAAGCAGAAUCGGGAACUCUUUCCAGCUCCUAAUUCACUUCCUUCAGUGAGAUGAAAAGUUUAAAGGGGCCCAGCUGGCUUCAGAGUACAGCAGCUGGGCUGGGGGCGGGAUAGGGUAGAAGAAGCUACCACUUGCGCUGCCUUUGCAGAUCAAUAUACAUGGGUGUUGUCUUUAAACUGUUAGAAAUUUGGCAUGAGAUAUUUGCAUGGUCUUUCCUCACAUUGGCUUUGUUCCCCACCCAUUUAAGCCACUAGGCACAUGCCGGGCUCUAGGGAGCGGCUCAAGCCAGGAGGCAGUGAGCCAAACUCAAUCCUAGUCAUGCCAUCAGGCAGAGAAAAUUGCUGUGGCUUUAUCACGUGCCUUACAAUACUGGGAGUUUUCCUUUCCUCAAAUGCCUAGCUCCUGGAGUCAAGUGAACAUGCGAGACUCUCAUCUUGCCUUGAAAAAAUGUUUCUUGCCCUCCUGGGUGCAGAGAAAGUCUAGAAAGCAUGAUGACCUCAGUGGGAAGACAAAUUAAAGGAACCUGGUGUUUACUGCUUAGAAAACUGGUAUGAAACAAGGAUGCUUGGGGGCUGACCCAGGAUUUCAGAUCAUGACCAGUGCUGCCACCAGCCAUUUGCUGAGGUGCACAGCAAGCCAUUUACACGCUGCAUGGUGCUGCAUGAAGCUUGCCAGCUCGGAGAGUUUUUCAGAAAUAAAUGUAAGAGUGAGCCUGCUUUCCAAGUCCCUCCAAAGGGAGCUGCUUCUUCUCUCAUCUUUAGGAGCAGUAAUGCAUGGGGGAGAAUGCUAAUUUCAUUCCAAGGGUGAAGCAGAGUGGCAGUCAGACACUGGAAGUUUAAACCAACAUUGAUUUUCCUAGUGGCCCUUUAAACCUGAGCUAGAUACGGUAGCAUAGGGCACUCCUGGGACAGUAUCACUGGCACUUAAUUGAUUUUGAUUUUAUUUUCACUGCAGUGGUGUAAUUACGAAAGCCUGCCAUAAUUAUUGAAACACAACUAGAAGUAUUUCAUUAUUAAAAUACCCCUAUGGCUUAUUAUUAAUUCAUUAAAUAAAUUUGGAUUAUAUCUCUCAAUAAUUAAUGUGCUGAAGUUUAUUCUGUGAACUCUCCCUUUUAUAGAACUGUGUCAGUUGUUGGUUUGAAAGAAAAAAAAUCCAAGUAUUGGAAAAAUAUACAACCCUCUAAGUAUGAAAUAAAGUGAGACUGGGGAGACUUUGGUCUUGUUUGAAGCAGGUUAUCCAGGAAACUAUGUAACUGAGCUGACAUAAUCAUCCAAGCUGUGUCUGUGGUUGGGAAACAUUUCUCAAGCUGUCCAAAGAUGAAUGUGAAAAGUAUUUCAGGGGACAUAGUCUGGGAUUGUGUCAGCACCCAGCUUAGUAAGAAGUAGCUCCAGUGCGAGAGGCGGGGUUACAAGUCUGAAGUAGUCAAUAUUUAACUUUGGGUUCAGUAAAUUGGGAGAAAAUGUGAAUGUUCUGGGGCCAGACCAUGGGGCAGUUAGUGGGAGUUUUGCCCAAUGACUAAGUAAAAGUACCUGUCCAAGUAUGGUGCCCAGAAUCUGGACCAGGGUGCUUAUCUCCCCCUGGCUGUUUCACUUUCCCUUUUGUGCAUCCUCAGGUGAAGAGACCUGCAGAUGUCACCUGCUUCCGAACGGCCUGUAAUGAUGUGCUGUACAGUACACCAUAUUGCUCUGGGGCUGCACAUGGAGCAUGGACAUCUUCCCCGUGAGUCACACACAUGCCGCAUCAGUGAUUACAGCUCACGAUUCCGUGCUCCAAAAUGGCACCGCCAAGGUGGCUAGUGGGAAAUCCCCAGUAGAUGCCAGCAGCCGUAGCACUUACCUCCACUUUACAGAUCUAAUGGCACUUAGGCGAGAGCUGGAAAGGGCUCUCAAAUAGCCAGGAUCAGCAGCACCUUUCUGUUUUAAGAGAAUCUCAAGAAGAGGGCUGGAAACCUGCCGAGAGCCGGUGCUUCCGAGAGCCUCACACCCGUCUGAUAGGUCCAAGUAGUGGAGUGACUUUGGAUGCUUCUGUGCACCCAGUCUCCAGAAACUUUGGGGGCUUGCUCAGCACUCCUGUUCCCCAGGGAUUCCUCGAUCCACAGAACAUUAAGAAGGUGAACGACACUAGAAUAUACAAAUAUAUAGCUGUCUCCCUUUACCGCUGUGGUUUGUAAAGGAAGCUUCCACCUUCGAUAGUAGCAAAGGGAAGGCCCUGAUCCUGCAUUUGCACCCAUUGGCUUUGCUGCCUCUCCUCCAGCUCCCUCUUCACUCCUCCAAGAUCCACGCCUCAGCAAGGGAGAGGCCUCCGAUGAUUCUCUGUGACCUCAGAGGCGAAAGCACUCAAGUUGCCCUUGAAGACAAAAAGAGAAAGUCUUGUCUGAGGUGAAGUCAGUAUCUAUCCAAUUUUCAGCUGCCGUCACAUCGAAAUGAGAAAUCUGAGGCAGAGCCAGGCACAAAUGGCUGAUAACAGACUUUCAGGUGAACCUCUUCACUUAUCACUUCGGGGGUCACCUCUGUUUCUAAAGACUUGUUUUCCUUAAAAAAAAGAUUUCUUAGGACAUUUAACGGUGUGGUGUUGUGAUAACAGAACCCAGCAAGGCUUUCGUUUGCUGUCUGGGCUUCUGCAGAGAUACAGAGACUCCUAAUGCCGCAACCUCAAAAUUUGUUUCUAAAAUUACCUCAUGAGCUGAAUCACCAAAAGUUGAAAAAUAUAAAAUUCUCUCUGCGAGGUUUUUCCUGUCCUUCCCCUUGUGUGGGCAUGCCAGGCAAGGAAAGCCACUCUGGCUCUGCCAGACAGGAGAAGAAGUGGCAUACAGAGAUUUGGAUGGGCCCAAUAGGGGUAAGCAAAUGGCCAAUGGAUCCUUGUACUAAUGAAUUUCCUUGCCAAAAAUUGCAGCUGAGCUGGGUCACAGCUGCCACUGAAGUCUGGAGUCUGCAUCUGCCGUAGCCACGCAGUGGCUUUUGAGGGAAAACUCAGAGUGGCUGCUCCAUCCUUGGCUCCAGGUAUGGGGUCAGGGUCCAUCCAUCUCCACCCCCCCCCCCGUUGCUCCCCUAUUUGGGAUGAGUCUGUUGUCCUCAAGAGGGCCAGAAGCAGAGAUGGGAAAGGGGAAAAAGUGUGAUGAAAUGGCUGUGAGAUAAUUUGUUUUGAAACAGGGCACUUGGCGCACGCACAGACGGGCGCACAGAUUUGUUUAGCAAACAAUAACCUGUGUUUUGUGCAUGAAUAAAUAAUUAAUCUUAUUU